rnacentral:rRNA from 1 species
UUAAGCGACUAAGCGUACACGGUGGAUGCCCUGGCAGUCAGAGGCGAUGAAGGGCGUGCUAAUCUGCGAUAAGCGCCGGUAAGGUGAUAUGAACCGUUAUAACCGGCGAUACCCGAAUGGGGAAACCCAGUGUGAUUCGUCACACUAUCAUUAACUGAAUCCAUAGGUUAAUGAGGCGAACCGGGGGAACUGAAACAUCUAAGUACCCCGAGGAAAAGAAAUCAACCGAGAUUCCCCCAGUAGCGGCGAGCGAACGGGGAGGAGCCCAGAGCCUGAAUCAGCAUGUGUGUUAGUGGAAGCGUCUGGAAAGGUGCGCGAUACAGGGUGACAGCCCCGUACACAAAAGCGCAUGUGCUGUGAGCUCGAUGAGUAGGGCGGGACACGUGGUAUCCUGUCUGAAUAUGGGGGGACCAUCCUCCAAGGCUAAAUACUCCUGACUGACCGAUAGUGAACCAGUACCGUGAGGGAAAGGCGAAAAGAACCCCGGCGAGGGGAGUGAAAAAGAACCUGAAACCGUGUACGUACAAGCAGUGGGAGCACCCUUCGGGGUGUGACUGCGUACCUUUUGUAUAAUGGGUCAGCGACUUAUAUUCUGUAGCAAGGUUAACCGUAUAGGGGAGCCGGAGGGAAACCGAGUCUUAACCGGGCGUUAAGUUGCAGGGUAUAGACCCGAAACCCGGUGAUCUAGCCAUGGGCAGGUUGAAGGUUGGGUAACACUAACUGGAGGACCGAACCGACUAAUGUUGAAAAAUUAGCGGAUGACCUGUGGCUGGGGGUGAAAGGCCAAUCAAACCGGGAGAUAGCUGGUUCUCCCCGAAAGCUAUUUAGGUAGCGCCUCGUGAAUUCAUCUCCGGGGGUAGAGCACUGUUUCGGCUAGGGGGCCAUCCCGGCUUACCAACCCGAUGCAAACUGCGAAUACCGGAGAAUGUUAUCACGGGAGACACACGGCGGGUGCUAACGUCCGUCGUGAAGAGGGAAACAACCCAGACCGCCAGCUAAGGUCCCAAAGUCAUGGUUAAGUGGGAAACGAUGUGGGAAGGCCCAGACAGCCAGGAUGUUGGCUUAGAAGCAGCCAUCAUUUAAAGAAAGCGUAAUAGCUCACUGGUCGAGUCGGCCUGCGCGGAAGAUGUAACGGGGCUAAACCAUGCACCGAAGCUGCGGCAGCGAACGUAUCACCCAAGACAACUUUACGGAGUUGACGAUUGACGGAGCGAAGCGACGUCAAAGCGUUCAUUAAAGUCGAGUUGGCUUAGGGAUACGUUCGUUGGGUAGGGGAGCGUUCUGUAAGCCUGUGAAGGUGUGUCGUGAGGCAUGCUGGAGGUAUCAGAAGUGCGAAUGCUGACAUAAGUAACGAUAAAGCGGGUGAAAAGCCCGCUCGCCGGAAGACCAAGGGUUCCUGUCCAACGUUAAUCGGGGCAGGGUGAGUCGACCCCUAAGGCGAGGCCGAAAGGCGUAGUCGAUGGGAAACGGGUUAAUAUUCCCGUACUUGGUGUUACUGCGAAGGGGGGACGGAGAAGGCUAUGUUGGCCGGGCGACGGUUGUCCCGGUUUAAGCGUGUAGGUGUGUGUUCCAGGUAAAUCCGGUUCACUUUAACACUGAGGCGUGACGACGAGGCACUACGGUGCUGAAGCAACAAAUGCCCUGCUUCCAGGAAAAGCCUCUAAGCAUCAGGUAACACGAAAUCGUACCCCAAACCGACACAGGUGGUCAGGUAGAGAAUACCAAGGCGCUUGAGAGAACUCGGGUGAAGGAACUAGGCAAAAUGGUGCCGUAACUUCGGGAGAAGGCACGCUGACACGUAGGUGAAGUGAUUUACUCAUGGAGCUGAAGUCAGUCGAAGAUACCAGCUGGCUGCAACUGUUUAUUAAAAACACAGCACUGUGCAAACACGAAAGUGGACGUAUACGGUGUGACGCCUGCCCGGUGCCGGAAGGUUAAUUGAUGGGGUCAGCGCAAGCGAAGCUCCUGAUCGAAGCCCCGGUAAACGGCGGCCGUAACUAUAACGGUCCUAAGGUAGCGAAAUUCCUUGUCGGGUAAGUUCCGACCUGCACGAAUGGCGUAAUGAUGGCCAGGCUGUCUCCACCCGAGACUCAGUGAAAUUGAACUCGCUGUGAAGAUGCAGUGUACCCGCGGCAAGACGGAAAGACCCCGUGAACCUUUACUAUAGCUUGACACUGAACAUUGAGCCUUGAUGUGUAGGAUAGGUGGGAGGCUUUGAAGUGUGGACGCCAGUCUGCAUGGAGCCGACCUUGAAAUACCACCCUUUAAUGUUUGAUGUUCUAACGUGGACCCGUAAUCCGGGUUGCGGACAGUGUCUGGUGGGUAGUUUGACUGGGGCGGUCUCCUCCUAAAGAGUAACGGAGGAGCACGAAGGUUGGCUAAUCCUGGUCGGACAUCAGGAGGUUAGUGCAAUGGCAUAAGCCAGCUUGACUGCGAGCGUGACGGCGCGAGCAGGUGCGAAAGCAGGUCAUAGUGAUCCGGUGGUUCUGAAUGGAAGGGCCAUCGCUCAACGGAUAAAAGGUACUCCGGGGAUAACAGGCUGAUACCGCCCAAGAGUUCAUAUCGACGGCGGUGUUUGGCACCUCGAUGUCGGCUCAUCACAUCCUGGGGCUGAAGUAGGUCCCAAGGGUAUGGCUGUUCGCCAUUUAAAGUGGUACGCGAGCUGGGUUUAGAACGUCGUGAGACAGUUCGGUCCCUAUCUGCCGUGGGCGCUGGAGAACUGAGGGGGGCUGCUCCUAGUACGAGAGGACCGGAGUGGACGCAUCACUGGUGUUCGGGUUGUCAUGCCAAUGGCACUGCCCGGUAGCUAAAUGCGGAAGAGAUAAGUGCUGAAAGCAUCUAAGCACGAAACUUGCCCCGAGAUGAGUUCUCCCUGAGACUUAGAGUCUCCUGAAGGAACGUUGAAGACGACGACGUUGAUAGGCCGGGUGUGUAAGCGCAGCGAUGCGUUGAGCUAACCGGUACUAAUGAACCGUGAGGCUUAACCU